rnacentral:rRNA from 1 species
AAUAGAUACCCUGGUAGUCCACGCCGUAAACGUUGGGCGCUAGAUGUGGGGACCUUUCCACGGUUUCCGUGUCGUAGCUAACGCAUUAAGCGCCCCGCCUGGGGAGUACGGCCGCAAGGCUAAAACUCAAAGGAAUUGACGGGGGCCCGCACAAGCGGCGGAGCAUGCGGAUUAAUUCGAUGCAACGCGAAGAACCUUACCAAGGCUUGACAUACACGAGAACGGGCCAGAAAUGGUCAACUCUUUGGACACUCGUGAACAGGUGGUGCAUGGUCGUCGUCAGCUCGUGUCGUGAGAUGUUGGGUUAAGUCCCGCAACGAGCGCAACCCUCGUCGCAUGUUGCCAGCACGUUAUGGUGGGGACUCAUGUGAGACUGCCGGGGUCAACUCGGAGGAAGGUGGGGAUGACGUCAAAUCAUCAUGCCCCUUAUGUCUUGGGCUUCACGCAUGCUACAAUGGCCGGUACAAAGGGCUGCGAUGUCGUAAGGCGGAGCGAAUCCCAAAAAGCCGGUCUCAGUUCGGAUUGAGGU